CAGAACGAACGCUGGCGGCAGGCCUAACACAUGCAAGUCGAGCGAACCCUUCGGGGUUAGCGGCGGACGGGUGAGUAACGCGUGGGAACGUGCCCUUCUCUGCGGAAUAGGCUCGGGAAACUGGGUUUAAUACCGCAUACGCCCUUCGGGGGAAAGAUUUAUCGGAGAAGGAUCGGCCCGCGUCUGAUUAGGUAGUUGGUGGGGUAAUGGCCUACCAAGCCUACGAUCAGUAGCUGGUUUGAGAGGAUGAUCAGCCACACUGGGACUGAGACACGGCCCAGACUCCUACGGGAGGCAGCAGUGAGGAAUCUUGGACAAUGGGGGAAACCCUGAUCCAGCCAUGCCGCGUGAGCGAUGAAGGCCUUAGGGUUGUAAAGCUCUUUCAGUCGUAAAGAUAAGACGGACGCAGAAGAAGCCGGAUACCG
rnacentral:rRNA from 1 species